rnacentral:lncRNA from 1 species
GAUGAUGCUGGUUUCAAAUCUCCAAUCAUUAGGUAACUUUCUUCAUUGCUUUGGAUUUAGUUUUUCUUUUAUUAGUGCUACCUUUAAAUCUCAUAACCAGUUUUGAGCUCAUUCAUGGUUUUAAAAUUCUAAUUAACAUGAUCCUUUCCAAAAUUAAGAUUUUUCUUGUACGUGACAUCCCCAUAUAUCUUGAGCUUAAGUAUUAUUUAUUUAUAUUUUGAAAUCAAUCUGAAGAUUUUGUGUUUUGAUAUUCCAAGUCAUAAAGUCUUUUUCAAAACUAUGGAUUUCCUUGUAAGGGACUCUUUCAUGCCUUCAGAAAUUAAGGUUUUAUGAUCUGUUUUCUGAUUUUGAAUCUCUUAGUCACUUCUAGGUUCGUGUGGUCGUACAAAUUCAAAAUCUUAGUAUUUUCUCAAAAAUUAAUGGAUACUUUGAAAGUAAUUCUUCCAUGUGAUUUGGAACCAAAUUCCACUUGUUUCUUUGAAAUGUAAUCAAUAUCAAAAUUGUCAUUUUGAAGUUCUAAAAUCUAAACAUUACUGCUGUUUGUAAAGCCUGCGGUCUUUGAAAUUCUGACACUUCCAUUGAAUUCAAUUUUAAAGUUGAUUUGACACUUACCUAUUCUUACUUGAAAAUAUGGAAUUAAUUUAGUUUUAAAAUUAUUUAAUUUGAAAAUUUUGGAAUCAUGUAUGUUUUUAAAUUGUUAUAUUUUGAACAAGAAUAUCUCUGCUGAACUGAAAUCAUGUACGGAAUCUUCUAAAUGCCAAUUUU